AAGAAAAAAAAAAAGAGAAUCCAUGUUUCAACUCAGCUGCGAUAUGCUUGCAUGUGACUCGUGAGCCUGAGAAACUACCUGUUCUUGGAAAGAAACUGAUUUUCCAAACCAUGGCUUGAAAAUUCAGCUCACUCUUCGAUUAAUGGCGUCAAUUAAUGCGAUCAAAGAGGCGCCAGUCAACCAAAUGUCUGUCAAACUUGAAGAGUCAAACAAUGGAGGGUAGAACUAUACAAACACGAGGAUGCAGAUAAUUCUGGGUGAUAGAUUAGUAGCGAAGGUCUGUUCACUCUGUUUCCUAUUUAACGCAUUGCAUUGUUCCUUCUAUUUUGUUUAUUGCAUAUGAUCAUCCUUCGUUGAUAUCUUUAGCACACACAUUUACAUGUUUCAUAAAAUCAUCAGCACUAUACCAUUUCGGAAGAAAAUGGCAAAAAAAUUUUAACUCAAAAACUUCAUCUCUGCAUGUGGUCUUUCCUGAUGUUUGGCGUCAAUGUCCUAAAUUUCUUGUUACGGCAGCACCAUGUAUCCUGUGGUGGCAUGGCUGCAUGGAGGCUUUACAAUGACAGCAAGUAAUAGUAGGCCAAUGCUACUGGCAAUGCAAUGAGCAAGCCCAAAAGUACCCUGUAACCAAAAGAAAACACCAUUUCAUUAUGUUGUUUAGCUAUAUAACUUGCGCUUCUCCUUAAACUGCUCAAAUGUUGCCAUGGCAUGUAAAGUUUCUUCGAUUUUUUUUUAUGAGUAAUGUUGGAAAUUAAAAUGAA